AUUGAACGCUGGCGGCAGGCUUAACACAUGCAAGUCGAGCGAGCGGCGGACGGUUGAGUAAUGUCUGGGAAACUGCCUGAUGGAGGGGGAUAACUACUGGAAACGGUAGCUAAUACCGCAUACCAUCAGAUGUGCCCAGAUGGGAUUAGCUAGUAGGUGGGGUAAUGGCUCACCUAGGCGAAGGUCACUAGCAGGUCUGAGUGGGUGACCAGCCAGACUGGAACUGAGACACGGUCCAGACUCCUACGGGAGGCAGCAGUGGUGAAUAUUGCACAAUGGGGGCGAGCCGGAUGCAGCCAGGCCGCAUGUGUGAAGAAGGCCUGCGGGGUGUAAAGAACUGUCAGCGAGGAGGCGGUACUCGCAGAAGAAGCACCGGCUAACUCCGUGCCAGCCGCCGCGGUAAUUC
rnacentral:rRNA from 1 species